ACUUGAAUAGUUUAAUUAGAAUAUAGCAUUGAAGAUGCUGAGGAGAAUAGAUAAGUAUUUAUCUUUAAGUG
rnacentral:tRNA from 1 species